GACAGAGGUGCCGAGCGUUAGGCGGAAUCACUGGGCUUAAAGCGUGUGUAGGCGGAUUCCUAAGUACCUUGUGAAAUCCCAUGGCUCAACCAUGGGAACUGCUUGGUAUACUGGGUGUCUUGAGCCAACUAGGGGCUACCGGAACAAAUGGUGGAGCGGUGAAAUGCGUAGAUAUCAUUUGGAACGCCAAUGGUGGAAAACAGGUAGCUGGGGUUGUGCUGACGCUGAGACACGAAAGCCAAGGGGAGCGAACGGG
rnacentral:rRNA from 1 species